rnacentral:rRNA from 1 species
ACGCGUUAAGUCGACCGCCUGGGGAGUACGGCCGCAAGGUUAAAACUCAAAUGAAUUGACGGGGGCCCGCACAAGCGGUGGAGCAUGUGGUUUAAUUCGAUGCAACGCGAAGAACCUUACCUACUCUUGACAUCCAGAGAACUUAGCAGAGAUGCUUUGGUGCCUUCGGGAACUCUGAGACAGGUGCUGCAUGGCUGUCGUCAGCUCGUGUUGUGAAAUGUUGGGUUAAGUCCCGCAACGAGAGCAACCCUUAUCCUUUGUUGCCAGCGGUUCGGCCGGGAACUCAAAGGAGACUGCCAGUGAUAAACUGGAGGAAGGUGGGGAUGACGUCAAGUCAUCAUGGCCCUUACGAGUAGGGCUACACACGUGCUACAAUGGCGCAUACAAAGAGAAGCGACCUCGCGAGAGCAAGCGGACCUCAUAAAGUGCGUCGUAGACCGGAUUGGAGUCUGCAACUCGACUCCAUGAAGUCGGAAUCGCUAGUAAUCGUAGAUCAGAAUGCUACGGUGAAUACGUUCCCGGGCCUUGUACACACCGCCCGUCACACCAUGGGAGUGGGUUGCAAAAGAAGUAGGUAGCUUAACCUUCGGGAGGGCGCUUACCACUUUGUGAUUCAUGACUGGGGUG